UCUCCCAGAAGAUCCCGACUCUGGUGUCUCACUGAUCAAUUCCCCAUCGAAGAAAGGCCGACAUCGGUCACAAAGGCGGCGCGCGCUUUAGUGCAGCAAGAGGCCAACGCAGGAGGAUCAAUGGAGACGAGCGCGAGGAGGGAAGUUGAGAAAGUCGAAUUUGAUGCUUCGGAGAUUGAAUACGUUAGUUAUGGCGGCGAACACCACCUCCCCUUGAUUAUGAACCUCGUCGACCAAGAGCUCAGCGAGCCUUAUUCUAUCUUCACGUACCGUUACUUCGUUUAUCUCUGGCCUCAGCUUUCUUUCCUGGCAUUUCACAAAGGUAAAUGCGUGGGCACUGUGGUUUGUAAGAUGGGGGAACAUCGCAGCACAUUCAGGGGCUACAUUGCGAUGCUGGUUGUGAUCAAACCCUACAGAGGAAGAGGCAUUGCUACGGAACUUGUAACUAGAUCAAUUAAAGUGAUGAUGGAAUCAGGUUGUGAAGAGGUUACACUGGAAGCAGAAGUCACAAACAAAGGCGCACUGGCAUUAUACGGUCGCCUUGGCUUUAUAAGGGCUAAGCGGCUUUUUCACUACUAUUUGAAUGGAGUUGAUGCUUUCCGUCUGAAACUUUUGUUCCCCCAACCGGAAUUACAUCCAUCUCUGUCUAUGAUUGUAGACAAAGAUGAUAGCCAGGGGCAUAGUGACCAUAGACAUUUGUCAGAAUGAUCUGACUUCAUCAAGGUUGUAAUGUUAUGGAAGCACAUUGAUAUGCAGCAGCAUGUUGACAUGCAAAUAUUUUUAGGGAGCAAGUCUGAGAGCCUUUCUGUAACUAAAGUCGCCUGAGGGAAAUGAGCAUCUAUAUUUCAAAAAAAAUUCCGAUCUUCUCCAAACAGAAUCUAGAUUGUCUGUGUAAUCGAGCGAUUGAUGGUGAAACUGAAAUGUGCCUGUUCAAAACGCAUAGAGGGGGGAACUGCGUUUGUGCGAAAUGGCUAACGUCAUUCAGCUUCAAGGAUGGCGUUGGAACGCAUAAACUGAUUCCGCAUACUGGCCUUUCCAUAGAAGAUUCAUUACAUUAAAGUUGAGCUGCACAUAACGACAGCCCCAAGGGUUGACGGGAGUGGAGGUAGCGUCCUCAAUCUAGCAAUCUUCACGGAAAAGCAUCGGGCACAAAUGGUUCGCAAGCAACGCAAGAGAGUUGCGCAAAUCCCUCCAUUGGAGAAGGAUCAAUGACUAGCCACAGAGGAGGAACAUGAAGAACAGGUGAGAAGGGUCAAAGUGGGAGCAAUGAGAGAGAAAGAGGAAGAUGAAGAGGGAGCGCAUUAGGAGAGGGGAAAUGGGACCGAGACAGAUUUCUUUUGGAAUUUAAAUUAAGGGUAGCAUAGUAAUUUGAUAAAAAAAUUAGUAUCAGAAGAGUUGUAAAGUGAC